AAUAGGUGCCCGUACCGCAAACCGACACAGGUAGGUGAGGAGAGAAUCCUAAGGCCAUCGGAAGAAUUGCUGUUAAGGAACUCGGCAAAUUGACCCCGUAACUUCGGGAGAAGGGGUGCCUACGAAAGUAGGCCGCAGAGAAUAGGCCCAAGCAACUGUUUAGCAAAAACACAGGUCUCUGCUAAAGCGAAAGCUGAUGUAUAGGGGCUGACGCCUGCCCGGUGCUGGAAGGUUAAGGGGAACACUUAGCGUAAGCGAAGGUGUGAACUUAAGCCCCAGUAAACGGCGGCCGUAACUAUAACGGUCCUAAGGUAGCGAAAUUCCUUGUCGGGUAAGUUCCGACCCGCACGAAUGGCGUAAUGAUUUGGGCACUGUCUCAACAGCAAAUCCGGCGAAAUUGUAGUGCAAGUGAAGAUGCUUGCUACCCGCGAUUGGACGGAAAGACCCCGUAGAGCUUUACUGUAGCUUAGCAUUGAAUCUCGGUAUUGUCUGUACAGGAUAGG
rnacentral:rRNA from 1 species